rnacentral:rRNA from 1 species
GUGCCAGCCGCUGCGGUAAUACGUAGGGCGCAAGCGUUGUCCGGAAUUAUUGGGCGUAAAGAGCUUGUAGGUGGCUUGUCGCGUCUGCCGUGAAAAUCCAGGGCUUAACCCUGGACGUGCGGUGGGUACGGGCAGGCUAGAGUGUGGUAGGGGAGACUGGAACUCCUGGUGUAGCGGUGAAAUGCGCAGAUAUCAGGAAGAACACCGAUGGCGAAGGCAGGUCUCUGGGCCAUUACUGACACUGAGAAGCGAAAGCAUGGGAGCGAACAGGAUUAGAUACCCUGGUAGUCCAUGCCGUAAACGUUGGCACUAGGUGUGGGGACAUUCCACGUUCUCCGCGCCGUAG